rnacentral:rRNA from 1 species
UACAGAGGGUGCGAGCGUUAAUCGGAAUUACUGGGCGUAAAGCGUGCGUAGACGGUUGCGUAAGUCAGAUGUGAAAGCCCCGGGCUCAACCUGGGAAUUGCAUUUGAGACUGCGUAGCUAGGGUGCGGAAGAGGGAAGCGGAAUUUCCGGUGUAGCGGUGAAAUGCGUAGAUAUCGGAAGGAACACCAGUGGCGAAGGCGGCUUCCUGUCUGCGACUGACGCUGUGGCGCGAAAGCUAGGGGAGCAAACGGG